rfam:Pterocles gutturalis contig35153, whole genome shotgun sequence.
CCAAAGGCUCUUUUCAGAGCCACCCACUAAAUCACAUAAAAGGGCU